ACUGCUAUCCAGCAGGGCUCCAGUGGAUGUCUGCCAGUGGUUCACCUGGUGCUGUCAGAGAAACCUUGUUUCAUCUGGAGGGGCUUUGCUGUGGAUAAGAGGAGUUCUGUGGUGAUCCUAUUCAAUGGGCUAUUGUGAAGAAUCAAGGAGCCAAACUAGGUAAACCACAGAAGAGCUGAUCCAGGGUUGGGGCUGCCCACAGAGGCUAGGAGGGAGCCAGGAGCGACUGGAACCAGGCAUCUGUUCAGAGCCAUCCUUGUGCCAGCAGCUCCCUGCACAUCACACUGUCUUCACCCCUCACAACUUCCCUGCUGUGGGGGCGUCCUCUUCACUUUACAGAUGAGGAAACUAGCUCUUAGGUCAAAGGACUCAGCUGAACAAGGGUUCCAACCCAUGUUUGGCUGCGGAAGACAGAGCCUUCCUUUCGGCCUCUCCCCAGCCUUUACUGACUGCCUCCUGCGGCUUACCCGUUGUCAUGGGUGCUGGCCUCGACUGGGCCCUCAAGGGGCUCACAGAUCUUGGUGGACAAUAUCGAAGUUCUGUGUGAAAUCCAAGAGUAGUUUUGCAAGUUACUUCGAGAGCACUUAGCUCCUGAGGCAACGAUGCCCCGGAUGGAAGUUUAAGUAAAUCAGAUGUGGAAAACUUUUUGGCACUUCAGGACAACGGCAGUUUCUCAUCCUGCACAGAGCUUGGCUGAGGCUGGUGCCCUGUAUCUGUGAUGGACGUUGGAAACAGAAGCAAGGUGAGAAUUUGGAGAUGACCGAAACACCAGGAAGGUCAUCACUGGUCUCUGGAGGAAGCAACUAUGGGGUGGUUUGAAUACGUCACGGUGACUGUGACAUUGAAAACAAUGCAUCCA